UACGGGGGGAGCAAGCGUUGUUCGGAUUUACUGGGCGUAAAGGGCGCGUAGGCGGUCGUGACAAGUCACUUGUGAAAUCUCCGGGCUUAACUCGGAGCGGUCAAGUGAUACUGUCGGACUAGAGUACAGAAGGGGCAACUGGAAUUCUCGGUGUAGCGGUGAAAUGCGUAGAUAUCGAGAGGGACACCUGCGGCGAAGGCGGGUUGCUGGGCUGAUACUGACGCUGAGGCGCGAAAGCCAGGGGAGCGAGCGGG
rnacentral:rRNA from 1 species